rnacentral:rRNA from 1 species
GACGAACGCUGGCGGCGUGCCUAAUACAUGCAAGUCGAACGCACAGUUUAUACCUUCGCUUUCUUCACCAUAGACUGUGAGUUGCGAACGGGUGAUUAACUCGUAGGUAACCUGCCUUGUAGCGGGGGAUAACUAUUUGACACGAUAGCUAAUACCUCAUAAUAUUAAUUAUUGCAUAGUAAUUGAUUGAAAGGUUCAACUGCAUCACUACCAGAUGGAUCUGCGUUGUAUUAGCUAGUAGGUGAGGUAACGGCUCACCUAGUCGACGAUACAUAGACGACCGGAGAGGGGGGUCGGCCACACUGGGACGGAGACACGGCCCAGAGGACUAAGGGAGGCAGCAGUAGGGAAUCGUAGGCAAUGGACGAAAGUCUGACAGGGCAACGCCGCGGGAGUGAAGAAGGGUGUCGGAUCGGAAAGAUCGGUUGUGAGAGAAGAACGGGUGUGAGAGUGGAAAGUGCACACUGUGACGGUAGCUAAACAGAAAGGGACGGCUAACUACGUG